rnacentral:rRNA from 1 species
GACGAACGCUGGCGGCGUGCUUAACACAUGCAAGUCGAACGGAAAGGCCCUGCUUUUGUGGGGUGCUCGAGUGGCGAACGGGUGAGUAACACGUGAGUAACCUGCCCUUGACUUUGGGAUAACUUCAGGAAACUGGGGCUAAUACCGGAUAGGAGCUCCUGCUGCAUGGUGGGGGUUGGAAAGUUUCGGCGGUUGGGGAUGGACUCGCGGCUUAUCAGCUUGUUGGUGGGGUAGUGGCUUACCAAGGCUUUGACGGGUAGCCGGCCUGAGAGGGUGACCGGCCACGUGGGGAGGGGGCUGCGCCCGGGACUCAAGCGGGAGGAAGCAGGGGGGAGGGUGGCAAGAGGGGCGGAGGGUUGUUGCAGGAGCGCCGCGGGGGGGAGGGGGGCGUGGGGGUGGUAGGCCAUUUUCCCCGGGAAAAAAGGGUGAGGGCGGCAAAGGGGUAAGGAAGCACGGGACAAUUAGGUC